CAUCCCAGCCCCCAGGCAGCUGCCCCUCAGUGUGAGGUGAGGGGUACUGGUGGGGGCCCCCGAGCAGAGAGAGAAGUUGCUAUGGGCCCCUCACCGCGGUGGAGUGUGCCCAUGAGUUGCGGAGGAUGGCGGGUGAGCAAGAACUCCCUAUUCAGCCAUUGGGCUUCCACCUGGGAAAGAGUCUUGCGUGUCUGAGCUCUGCAGGAUGUCCCACUGCAAGAAAAACCACAUGGAACAGUGUGUGGAGUACAAGGAAUCUGCUUUGGUCACACCAUUUCUGGCUCCAUAGCCUGGGAACAGAGAUGAGCAAGUACCUGGCAGGGCCCUGGCCAUGACAGCGGAAGUGCAGUGAAUUGAGCCUGGGACUAUCCUUUUACUUGGGAAAGACAACAGGGUGCUAGUGACGCAAGGACACUGGAAGGAUACAAAGACUUUCUGAGACUUUCUAGUUAUGACUACCAGACUUCUGUCUUCAUUCUCUGAAGAGAGUCUAGAUAUAAUAUCCCAAGGGUUUUUCAAGAUGUGUGGAAAUCUAAUACACCAAUUAUAACAGCAACCCAGUCUAAAGUAUCUCCAAAUAAAAAGCAAGAAAUAGCAAGGCCUAAGUAUGAGAUUUAGAAGAGCCUCAGAGAUGACCUAACCCAUGCCAGGAGAAAGGAACUGCUCUCUCUUAUCUCCUGCAAUCUCUUAAUACUGGGGGAGUGUAUGGUCUUUUACUAUUAUGUUUGCAAGGAAAGCUACCUCUGGCAUUAGGAAAUCUUCAGCUGUUGCCUUGAGCUCUCUGCACCACAUGGCCUGAGGGGAGAUGGACUGUGGCUCAUGGACUGAAUGCUUCUCUGAGAGUCGGAUUCAUUGCUUAUUAAAAUUGGUGUGUGACCUCUUCUUGAUUUCCAGCAAGUUUCUGCAGGAUUUUUAGUGGCUUAUGUUGCUUUAUGCCUGGCUGUGUUUUUAUAAUCUUUUUACUGUUUGGAUAAUGUAUACUUGCACGUAAUCCCAAGCAAAUAUGGCACAGUGUAAUGGUCUAACAAAGAGUUAACUUGAAUGUUCAUGCUGCUAACAUGCUACAUGGCUGGUUACUGAAUCUUUCAGAGCCCCAUCUUUGUGAGACAUCUGUUACCAGGAGACUGCUAGAAACUUAGUUACCUAAUUUAGGAAGAUUGCCUCUUUGGAGGAUUUUGCAGUGCCUUUUUGAGUACUUAGGACUGUGUCCAGCUUACAGGACAGCAUGCAUGCUCUGGCUGAGCACUGGCUCUGCAAUGGGAGGAGAGCAGGUUGUGUGUCACUGGCCCUUGUUUCCAGAGUCCUCAGUUUCUGAGCACCAAUUUUUGUGGAAAAGAAAUAUUAAAUGGUGUUUUGGGUCAGUCCCCAACAAACAGAAGGGGAUUAGUAAGCUUCCCUCUCCUCUCUGUAUGUUUCCUUAGCUAAAGAUAAUGCUCAUUAAGAAGAACAAAAAUCAAGAGAAACACAAACUGUGUCCUAGAGCAGUUAUGCAGAAUAAAAGUAUACUGUUAAUUUGUAACUAGGAAAUGCAAUGUUCUCCAGAAAGAUUGAAUUAAAAAUUAUAAAAUGGAGUUUUUUCUUGCUUGUGCUCACAAGCUCACAAGUUCUGCCCUGUCCAAUCUGUGUGCGGUAAGGGUCUAUCACAACAUAGUUGUUGCUUGAAAAAUUACUCAUUUUAGCAAGACUAUGGACUAUGGAAGUGUUCAAUAGGUAGCCUCAACCCUUUGUAAGUAAUGGAAAAACUUGUGUUAUCUCAUUCCAAAUUCUUUUAUUACAGUUAUAAGUCAACCCAUGCUACUUCAAAGCAAUAAAAUUACAUGGUGAGAGUCUCAAAGUGUAAUAUGGAAAAAACAGUAAGUAAAGCAAACAAUUUGGUAAGGUGAACUGGUUCAUCUUUCAGCUCUGGUGAACUCAAAACUAGCUCAGCAAAAAUGGUAAAACUGCCACUCUAAUAAAGAUCUCAGUCACUGCAUGCCUAUGCACAGCAGUGUAAGUUCUUGGUAUUGGCAGAAAUCGAUCCAGCCUCUGGCUGUAAGGCUGCAGAAAUAGGCAUGUAACUCUAUUUAUUUAUUUUCUGUGCAAACUGCCAGCUGUAGUUCAGCUGUAUGAUCCAUUCUUACAGUUCUCACUGAAGAUCAAUGGCUGCUAAACUUGCAUAUCAAAGGGAAAGUAACUCUUCAAUAUGCUAUUUAUCUCCCAAGUGAUGUGAGCUCUUUUUACAAAGAUUGAUACACUCUUUUUUUUUUUUUCAUAUUUUCAGCAACUUCUCUCCCUUCUUUAUCUCAGAUUGAAAAAAAAAAGCCUGAUUUUGAUUUUAUCAACAUUACAUUGGGAAGUCAGACUUGCUAACUGAGUAUUCUCUGUCUCUGUGAUGUAUAAAAAUGUUUGGUGUUCCUUAAAAAUGGAAAUAAUUUACUUUGUAGAUGAGUUCAAGAUCAGAAAAAGGAAAUUUAGUAAGGAAUCUCUGUGUUAAUUCUCCAAGGCGUAUCACUUUUGAAGAGAAUGGACAACUACUUCUAAGUAACUCCUGGAAAUUAUAUCAGCAUCUGAUAAGUACAGUGGCUUCUUGGAAGCUUGUAAAGGAUACACUAAAAAGCAUUUAUUUUACUUUAUUUGAAAAUUCAUUUCAGUCUACCUGCCUCCUGUAGGGUUCAAGAUUAGAAGCUUUCCUUCCAACAGCUUAUAAUAUAAACACUUAAGAAAACUGUACAAGGUUUGCAGUAACGAUUUGAUGAUCAGGUUUGAUGGAAGAGCUGGACCCGCUUCUGAGCAAAGAUCAGGGCCUGUCCUCAUGAUCAUGGAAAGAAGUGACAUUUACAACAGCCAGAGAACGGAAAAUGUUAGCAAGUCAAAGCAAACAGAAGAUAAACAUUAGGCUUUCACAACACAACAGUGCAGUGUGUCCAACUUGUUAUCAGUUUACAGCUUCAGACUUGAAACCCUCUUUCCGAACUGACAAAGUUCUUUGUUACUCCUUUAUUGAGCUGUGCCUGGGCUGCGGUACUGUUCCCACAUUGCCUCCUGCAAUACUGGUGCUGUGAGAGCUAGCAGAAAUUUGAAGGCUGUACAGUUCAACCUACUGCGUUGUUUCUCAUUGCUGAGCGAAGGGCUUUAGCACUUACCAUCAUUACAUUUUUGAAGUUCUUUCCGUCUUCUCUGGAAUAGAAGUGGCUACAGGUGAGGCUACUGGCUGGACUGGAUGGAAGCAGUGAAUCCAAGUGAAAGCAAUGCAAAUUGGGAAAAGUUCAUCCUAU